rnacentral:rRNA from 1 species
UACGGGGGGGGCAAGCGUUGUUCGGAAUUACUGGGCGUAAAGGGUUCGUAGGUGGCUUGCUCAGUCAGACGUGAAAUCCCUCAGCUUAACUGGGGAACUGCGUCUGAUACUAGCGAGCUUGAGUGCAGGAGAGGAACGCGGAAUUCCAGGUGUAGCGGUGAAAUGCGUAGAUAUCGGAAGGAACAUCAGUGGCGAAAGCGGCUUCCUGGACCAGUACCGACGUUCAGGCACGAAAGCGUGGGGAGCAAACAGG